rnacentral:rRNA from 1 species
ACACAUGCAAGUCGAGCGGAAACGAAAAUAGCUUGCUAUUUGGCGUCGAGCGGCGGACGGGUGAGUAAUGCUUAGGAAUUUGCCCAGUCGAGGGGGAUAACUAUUGGAAACGAUAGCUAAUACCGCAUACGCCCUACGGGGGAAAGGAGGGGACCUUCGGGCCUUUCGCGAUUGGAUAAGCCUAAGUGAGAUUAGCUAGUUGGUGAGGUAAUGGCUCACCAAGGCGACGAUCUCUAGCUGGUCUGAGAGGAUGAUCAGCCACACUGGAACUGAGACACGGUCCAGACUCCUACGGGAGGCAGCAGUGGGGAAUAUUGCACAAUGGGCGAAAGCCUGAUGCAGCCAUGCCGCGUGUAUGAAGAAGGCCUUCGGGUUGUAAAGUACUUUCAGCAGUGAGGAAGGGUAUGUAGUUAAUAACUGCAUAUUUUGACGUUAGCUGCAGAAGAAGCACCGGCUAACUCCGUGCCAGCAGCCGCGGUAAUACGGAGGGUGCGAGCGUUAAUCGGAAUUACUGGGCGUAAAGCGCAUGCAGGUGGUUUGUUAAGUCAGAUGUGAAAGCCCGGGGCUCAACCUCGGAAUUGCAUUUGAAACUGGCAUACUAGAGUACUGUAGAGGGGGGUAGAAUUUCAGGUGUAGCGGUGAAAUGCGUAGAGAUCUGAAGGAAUACCAGUGGCGAAGGCGGCCCCCUGGACAGAUACUGACACUCAGAUGCGAAAGCGUGGGGAGCAAACGGGAUUAGAUACCCCGGUAGUCCACGCCGUAAACGAUGUCUACUUGGAGGUUGUGGCCUUGAGCCGUGGCUUUCGGAGCUAACGCGUUAAGUAGACCGCCUGGGGAGUACGGUCGCAAGA